rnacentral:rRNA from 1 species
GAUGAACGCUGGCGGCGUGCCUAAUACAUGCAAGUCGAGCGAAAGGACGAGAAGCUUGCGGGGCGGAUGUUAGCGGAGGAGGGGUGAGUAACGCGUGGAUAACCUACCUAUAAGACGGGGAUAACUAGGGGAAAGCGGAGCUAAUACCGGAUGAGAUUUUGAAGCGCAGGGUGCAAAAGUGAAAGACGGUGUUGGGGGCACGUAUAGAUGGAUCCGCGCUGCAUUAGGUGGUUGGUAAGGUAAAGGCUUACCAAGGCAAGGAUGCAUGGCCGAACUGAGAGGGUGAUCGGCCACACUGGAACUUAGCCACCGUCCAGACUCCUAAGGUACGCCGCAGUCUGGAAUCUUACGCAAUGGUCGAAAGUCUUACGCAGUAACGCCGCGUGUGUGAUGAAGGCCUCCCGAUCGUAAAACCCUGCUACUAGUGAAGAACCGAUGUGUAAUUAACUGUGCCCAUCUUGACGGUAAUUAAUCAGGAAGCCCCGGCUAACUACGUG